rnacentral:rRNA from 1 species
AGGACGAACGCUGGCGGCGUGCCUAACACAUGCAAGUCGAACGAGGUCCAACCGGUGGCAACACUGGUGAAGACCUAGUGGCGAACGGGUGAGUAUCACGUGAGUAACCUGCCCCGAAGACUGGGAUAAACACCGGGAAACCGGUGCUAAUACCGGAUGUCCCCACCGAAUCGCAUGGUUUGGUGAGGAAAUGGAUUCCGCUUUGGGGAGGACUCGCGGCCUAUCAGCUUGUUGGUGGUGUAACGGACCACCAAGGCUUCGACGGGUAGCUGGUCUGAGAGGACGAUCAGCCACACUGGGACUGAGACACGGCCCAGACUCCUACGGGAGGCAGCAGUGGGGAAUCUUGCGCAAUGGGCGAAAGCCUGACGCAGCAACGCCGCGUGAGGGAUGAAGGCCUUCGGGUUGUAAACCUCUUUCAGCAGGGACGAAGCGAAAGUGACGGUACCUGCAGAAGAAGCACCGGCUAACUACGUGCCAGCAGCCGC